GAUGAACGCUGGCGGCAUGCCUAAUACAUGCAAGUCGAACGAGAGGAAGGAAAGCUUGCUUUUCUGAAUCUAGUGGCGAACGGGUGAGUAACACGUAGGUAACCUGCCCAUGUGCCCGGGACAACUUCUGGAAACGGAUGCUAAAACCGGAUAGGUAGCAGACAAGCAUUUGACUGCUAUUAAAGUGGCUAAGGCCAUGAACAUGGAUGGACCUGCGGUGCAUUAGCUAGUUGGUGAGGUAACGGCCCACCAAGGCGACGAUGCAUAGCCGGCCUGAGAGGGCCGACGGCCACAUUGGGACUGAGACACGGCCCAAACUCCUACGGGAGGCAGCAGUAGGGAAUUUUCGUCAAUGGGGGGAACCCUGAACGAGCAAUGCCGCGUGAGUGAGGAAGGUCUUCGGAUCGUAAAGCUCUGUUGUAAGAGAAAAACGACAUUCAUAGGGAAUGAUGAGUGAGUGAUGGUAUCUUACCAGAAAGUCACGGCUAACUACGUGCCAGCAGCCGCCGUAACAC
rnacentral:rRNA from 1 species